CCUACGGGAGGCAGCAGUGGGGAAUUUUGGACAAUGGGCGAAAGCCUGAUCCAGCAAUGCCGCGUGAGUGAAGAAGGCCUUCGGGUUGUAAAGCUCUUUUGUCAGGGAAGAAACGGUGAGGGCUAAUAUCCCUUGCUAAUGACGGUACCUGAAGAAUAAGCACCGGCUAACUACGUGCCAGCAGCCGCGGUAAUACGUAGGGUGCAAGCGUUAAUCGGAAUUACUGGGCGUAAAGCGUGCGCAGGCGGUUUUGUAAGUCUGUCGUGAAAUCCCGGGCUCAACCUGGGAAUUGCGAUGGAGACUGCAAGGCUAGAAUCUGGCAGAGGGGGGUAGAAGUUCCACGUGUAGCAGUGAAAUGCGUAGAGAUGUGGAGGAACACCGAUGGCGAAGGCAGCCCCCUGGGUCAAGAUUGACGCUCAUGCACGAAAGCGUGGGGAGCAAACAGGAUUAGAUACCCUGGUAGUCCACGCCCUAAACGAUGUCUACUAGUUGUCGGUUUAAUUACUUAGGUAACGNAGCUAACGCGUAGAAGUAGACCGCGUGGAGGUACGGUCGCGAAGUAGUAAACGUUACGAAGUAAGUUAGUUAGCGNGAGAGNGCGACGGACGACGACGAGGGAGGAGG
rnacentral:rRNA from 1 species